rnacentral:lncRNA from 1 species
GAUAGCAACUAGGGUUGACAGGUAAAAGGUGCUAAAGUACAGAACAUGGCAUGAAACAUAUGCUACAGUACAGUACUAAGAUCAUACUAACUAACGCAGCAGGUUUCAGGUUAAAAUGAUAAAUAGAUCAAAAGUUACUGGCUUGCAAAGGUGGCUAGUCAGAUUCUGACAGAUAAAGGUUGCUAACUUCGAGUGAAAAACUACUGGUGCUAAACUAUUGCAAUAUCAGAGAACUAAACAAAAGAAUCCAAGAAUAUGAUCUACUCUUCCAAAUGGCACUGGUUUCACUAACUAUGGAGAUAUGAGGCAGUAGCUAUGAACAGGUGAAUGUGGCUACUCUAAAACAGAACAGUACGGGAUAUGAACUUCUACCGUUGUGCCGCUAGUGAAGGUGAAUUUGAAAUGGUCCAACUAGGAAAUUUCUUUGAAGGGGUAUACCCAAGGUUCAAACUACAGAAAGAAUCAACUAAAAUGAUGCUACGGACAACAAGAAGAACUACUGCGAAUAAGGUUACCCACAAAGAAUGGUGCUGCAACUUCCUGCCGCGGCAGAGAUACGGCAGAGAGGCUGCUUAGAAUACAAUUUUGCGACGACGAUGCAGUGCUCAAGAUGAACCAUCUAUGGCUACUGUCUAUAGAGAAAUGGUAGAGGAACAUACAAUCUACACAUGGUGAAAACUAGAGCACAUAAUGAUCAACGGUCUGCUAACAAUCGACGCUUGAACAGAGCUACUUGAAAAGCACGGGAGAUGAACAUGUUCAUACCCAAAUCUUUCGGGAGAUGAACGGAAUCGAAGAAUCGAAGCGUGGAAAGGAAGAAGGGUUGGAGGAGAUUCACGGCGUCGCGGGGAGUCCAACCGUGCAAGCGGCUUCGCGAAUCCUUCAGCGAAUCUCCGGCGAUUGCUCGCCGGAGUUGGGCGGCGGCGGCGACGGUUUUGGUCGGAAAUCGGGGCGUGUGGGUGGGCAGGGAGCGCGGGCGGGCGAGGGCAUGCGCGAGAGGGGGCACGGGGAGCUUUAUAGGCCUCGGGGCGCGUGGACGGGGGGGCCAGCAGUUGCCGCGUGACGCGGGGUCGUGGGCGCGUGCGGCGACGGCGGUUGCACGGGCGCGCGCGGCCAGCGGCGGCGACGGCGGGGUCGGUUGGAGAUGGCGGAGGUGAGGGAUGACAGGUGGACCCUACCUGUCAGUGAGAGAGAGUGAAGAGUUGAAAACGUAAUCCCUCGAGAAUACGCUUUCCUGCGGAGAAAACGUAAUGCCAGAGAAAAAGAAAAAGAAUAAAAGAAAAAGAUUAUAAAAUACUUCUCAGGAUCUAUAAUUCACCCGAAAUUCCAUUUAAAUCAUUUAAAAUAUCAAAUGGCAUCAGAAAAAUUGCAAAAAAUUCGGUAAAAUAAUAUAUCUCAUUUAGAGUCCAGGAAAAUUAUUCCCACUCAAAAAUAAGUUAAUAAAAUUAGUUUUAAUGUUUUUAAGCUUUAAAUAAAUCCAAAUAAAAUCGUAGAAUGCAUUUUUAAAUUCUAGAAAAUUCUCAAAUCAAUUCCUAUCAACCUAACACAUUCCAAAACACCAUUUCCAACACUUUCAAUAAUGCGUCAUAAUGAACACCAAAAUUUUAAGAUAUGAUCAAGGUGAUAUGCAUACGAAAUGAAAAUGUGCGAACAUCCGAAAUUGAAAAUUUGGGAUGUUACAAACCUACCCCCCUUAAGGUGAAUCUCGACCCCGAGAUUCGGAUUGGCUGGUAAAAAGGUGAGGAUAGUCCUUCUUCAGAUCUUCUUCUCGUUCCCAGGUUGCUUCCUCUUCACUGUGAUGGCUCCACUGAACCUUACAAAACCUGAUAGUUUUUGAUCUGGUGAUCCGUUCAGUAGUCUCAAGAAUCUUUUCUGGUUUCUCCUUAGUCAGAUCUUCCUUCAGCUGUAUUGCUUCCAAAGGUACUAUAUCCCUGAGUGGUACCUCUGAUUCCUCUGCAUGACACUUCUUCAACUGUGAUACGUGGAAAACGUUGUGCAUACUAGACAAUGCUUCAGGUAAUUCCAACUGAUAUGAUACUUCUCCUUGUCUUCCCAUAAUCUUAUAAGGUCCAACAAAACGAGGUGCUAACUUUCCCUUGAUUCCAAACCUCUUUACUCCUCUAAGAGGUGAAACUCUCAAAUAUGCUCGGUCUCCUGCUUCAUAUGUGACUGCCUUACGUUUAGGAUCUGCAUAACUUUUCUGUCUCGAUUGGGCUACCUUCAGUCUGUCCUUGAUCAACUUGACCUUUUCCUCGGCAUCCUUGAUUAGGUCUGGCCCAAACAACUGUCUUUCGCCUACCUCAUCCCACAUGAGUGGUGUCCUACACUUCUUUCCGUAAAGGGCCUCAAACAGGGACAUCUUCGAACUUGCUUGGUAACUGUUAUUGUAAGAAAACUCCGCGUAUGGUGGAUUAUCAUCCCAACUCGAUCCAUAAUCCAAAGCGCAGGCUCUUAGCAUAUCUUCCAAAAUCUGGUUCACUUUUUCAGUCUGACCAUCUGUUUGAGGAUGUAAAGCUGUGCUGAAUUCUAACCUGGUUCCUAGGGCUUCAUCUAACUGACCCCAAAAUUUGGAUGUGAAUUGAGUUCCACGAUCCGAUAUUAUUUCCUUGGGUACUCCGUGCAAACACACGAUUCUAGACAUAUACAACUUUGCUAAUUGGGCACUACUAUAGGUUGUCUUGACUGGGAUAAAGUGUGCGACUUUGGACAGUCGGUCCACUACUACCCAAAUAGAAUCAUACCCGGAACGGGUCCUUGGUAGUCCAGUGAUGAAGUCCAUCCCAAUACUAUCCCACUUCCACUCCGGUAUAGGAAGGGGUUGCAGCAAACCUGCUGGCUUCUGGUGCUGUGCCUUAACUCGCUGGCAUACAUCGCACUUUGCGAUAUACUCAGCAAUUUCUCGCUUCAUACUCGGCCAGCAAAACUUCUCCUUCAAAUCCAGAUACAUCUUGGUAUUUCCAGGGUGUAUAGAGUAUGGUGACUCAUGGGCUUCCUGAAGUAUCAGCUUCUUAAUCUACGGAUCCUGGGGUACACAAAUACGCUUUUCAAACCAAAUGGUUCCAUGUUCAUCUUCUGAGAACUCCAAAGAUUUUCCUUCGCUCAUACUUUGUUUGAUCUUUCCAAUAUUGUCAUCCUUCUUCUGGGCUUCUCUUAUCUGAUCCAACAGAGUGGGUUUUACUUCCAAUGCUGCAAGAAAUCCUUUAGGUACUACUUCAAUACUUAGGCUCCUAAACUGCUCAUAGAGCUUGGGGGAUGUCACUUUCGCUGUGAUGGAAUUGCAAUGACUCUUGCGACUCAAGGCGUCAGCCACUACAUUAGCCUUUCCAGGGUGAUACUGUAUGUUUAAGGUAUAAUCCUUGAUUAGUUCUAACCAUCUUCUUUGUCUGAGGUUCAACUCAUUCUGAGUGAAAAUGUACUUCAAACUCUUGUGGUCGGUGAAGAUAUCGCAAUGAUUUCUAAUAAGAUAGUGCCUCCAUAUCUUUAGUGCAUGAACCACAGCUGCUAACUCCCAGUCAUGAGUGGGGUAAUUCAUCUCAUGAGGUUUGAGUUGUCAUGAUGCGUAAGCAACUACUUUGCCUUCUUGCAUCAAUACACAACCCAAGCCGUGGCGAGAGGCGUCACAAUAGACCUGAAAGUUCUUGUGUAUGUCUGGCAAAAUCAGAACAGGGGCUGACACAAGCUUCUUCUUUAAUUCCUGAAAUGUGCUUCACAUUUCGGGGUCCAACUGAAUUUCUUUUCUUUCUUCAAGAGGUUGGUCAUAGGUCUAGCUAUCUUGGAAAAAUUCUCAAUAAACCUACAGUAAUAACCCGCAAGUCCUAAGAAACUCCUGAUCUCCUUCACUGUCUUGGGAGAAUUCCAUUCGGUCACGGCUGUUACCUUGGAUGGGUCUACAACUACUCCUUUUCCUGACACAAUGUGUCCCAAAAAUGCUACUUCUUUCAACCAAAACUCACACUUGCUCAACUUGGCAUACAGUUGGUGCUCUCUAAGUUUCUCCAGUACUUUCCGUAGAUGGACCUCAUGUUCACUUCGGGAUUUGGAAUAGAUAAGAAUGUCAUCAAUGAAGACAACGAUGAAUUUGUCCAAGGACUCCAUGAACACCUUGUUCAUCAUGUUCAUGAAAUAGGCCGGGGCAUUGGUCAAACCAAAUGACAUAACUGUAUACUCAUACAAUCCAUAUCUGGUGGAAAAUGCCGUCUUGGGUAUAUCUGAGUUCAGAUUUUCAACUGAUGAUAACCUGAUCGCAGAUCUAUCUUGAAAACACUGUGGCUCCUUCCAAUUGAUCGAACAAGUCAUCGAUCCUUGGCAAAGGGUAUUUGUUCUUGAUGGUGACCUCGUUGAGGGAACGAUAGUCAACACACAUCCUUUGUUUUCCAUCUUUCUUCUGGACAAAUAUAACUGGUGCUCCCCAUGGUGAUGAACGAGGUCGGAUGUAUCCUUUCUCUUGCAACUCUUGCAACUACCUCUUGAGUUCUGCCAACUCAUUUGUUGCCAUCCUAUAGGGUCUCUUGGCUAUAGGUGCUGUUCUUGGGACCAAGUCAAUCAAAAAUUCCACUUCUCUAUCUGGUGGCAUGCCCGGCAAAUCCUCAGGAAACACAUCUGGAUACUCACAAACUAUGGGUAUCUCCUCAGAUCUAUCCCCCUUAAGGGAAUUCACUAUGGUUUUCCUAGGUCUGGCUUUGGUGGUAAACCUAAUUCUUUUGCCUUCAGGGCUGGUCAACACAACCGCUAAAUUGGCACAGUAGAUGUGGCCCUUUCGGCUUGAUAACCAGUCCAUGCCUAAUAUCACAUCGAGACUUUGGGUCUCCAAAAGGAUAAGGUCUGACGGAAAAAUUUCCUUUCCAAUCCUUAUUUGAACUCCAUGACAAAAUUUGUCUGCUCGGAAUUCUUUUCCAGGGGAUGUCACAACUAAGUAUCUACUAAGUGCCUUGGUGGCUAACCCAUGCUUUUGCACCCAUGAUUGAGAAAUGAAAGAAUGCGAUGCUCCGGUAUCAAAUAAGAUAACUACAGGUUGGAAUUGACCAAGAACAUACCGACAACGACGUCCGGUGACUCAUAUACCUCCUCAACAGACAUAUGGUUGAGCUUGGCCUUCACAAACGGAUUGGGCUUGCUUCCUCCCUGGUUCUUGUCCUCAUGUGGCUUCUCCGUGCAAGUACUCUUGUAGUGGCCCAUCUUGCCGCAGUUGAAGCAUUUCACCUGACUCAUGCCCUCUUAUCAGGAGCAGAGUCGCUGUGGUGGUGACGGUGUCCACUUCCAUGGUGCCGGUUCUCCUUGUGAUCUUGGUGAUUGCGGUGACUCUGGUGCCUGUUCUGCUGAUGACUCAUGCCAUGGAAUCCUCCAGAGGAUGAUCCAGAGUGGUGGUGUCUAGGAGGUGAAAAGUGGCGAGACUUGACAUGGUGCCUGGAAUCAAUCUUGUGGUUACUUGCCCUCCUUUUCCUGUUUUCAAUCUCCUUCUGCUUUCCCCCAAGGCGUAUGGCCUUGUCCACCAAAUGUUGAAAUGUAGCAAAGUUAAUGGACACCAGCUGCACACUAAGCUCAUCAUUCAGUCCUUCGAGAAACCUCUCCUGACGGUCAUCAUCAUCAGCCACAUCUCCUGGGGCAUACCUAGCCAAGCUGGUGAAACGGUCCAAAUACUCCUUCACAGAUUUGGAACCUUGGCGAAGAGAGCGGAAUUCCUUCUUCAUCAAUCCCAUACUUCCAGUUGGAAUGUGGGCGGUUCGAAAUCCACGGACGAAGCCGUCCCAAGUGAUGACCUCUCCAUCAUAACCAAACUUGAAGUUGUCCCACCAUGCGGCAGCUGCGCCUUCUAGUUGGUGACUUGCAUACAUAACCUUCUCUUGCUCAGUGCAUUGGAUGGUGGCUAACUUCUUCUCAAUGACUCUAAGCCAAUCAUCGGCUUCAAUUGGUUCAGCUGAGUUUGCAAAGGUAGGUGGGUGUAGUCUAAGGAAUCGGGUAAGCCUGUCCGAGGGUGGUGGUGGUGGGGGUGGAUUGUUCUGUUAGAAUAGGAAUUUUGCUGGAAAAGAUGAGAGUCGAGAUAAAUGGAACUAUUAGAAUAACAUACUACCCAUAUAUGCUAGCAGCAUGAAAAGAACCAUAUAACUCCAAAUAAAACUUCAUUCAUGAUAAAGCAAAGUGAUCAAACAUAGUGAUAAGUUCACACACAAGUCUAAUCCUGAUGAUCACAUUUCGAUUGAUCAGGAUACUAAUGGCACUAACGCGAAAGUAAACUCACAAACAAACCAAGGGUAAGGACGCUACUCGUCACGGUCUAUCUCAACGUCGGACUCGAAGAUAACCUCCUCAGGGUCUUCCUCGUCCUCCAUCGGCUCGUCCUCGUCUCCGGAGUCGGCUAUCUCGUAGUCGAACACCUCAAUCCUGAAUUGCAUCUCCUCCUCGUAGUCCUCGUCGGAAAGCCUCAUCCUCAGCCUGAACAUCCUCUCCAUUGUCACGUGCCUCCUCUAGCUCUUCCCGGAGGGUGGAAAUGGUUCCCUUGAGAAGGUGCACCUCCAUCUCAAAGCUAUUGAUCUGAUUCUUCAGUUCCUCCUUCUCAUCUGCUGCUUCCCCUAGCUCCUCUUGCUGUAUGACAGCUAUCUCCUGAAGCUGUUGCAGCUCGUCCUUGGCGUCUUUGUUCAGGGCCUCCAGUUCCUGAACCUUCUGCUGCGACUCCAUGUCCUUGGCCUUCAGCAGUUAAUUCUCCCGCUUGAGGGCGGCGAUCUGAACAUCAGCCAGGGCUAACUCCCAGUUCAGCUCAUCUCGGGCGUGGAGGUGUGCAUCCGAAAUGCUUCUAGUGACCUCAUGCUGACUCUAGACACUGUCGAGGUAACGCUCGAGGUCGUCGUAUUGUUGGGCGCUGGGGGUGAGGUCGCCGGUGCGGGGAAACAAAUUCCCGUAUCGGGUCUUCUUGCCGAAGUCCUCGUAGGCAGUAAAGACGAGAUCAGAGGCGUACUCGCCGCAGAUGCGAGCAAGAGCCUCCUGCAUAGCCUUUAUCAGGCCAGCCUCCCAGGUAUCCGCUUCCACAGUGAAGGUGACGUCUCUCGUGACGGGGUGAACCUGGCGUCCACGGAUCUUGGCGCCGAUGUCGACGUGUCCUGGACGGUCCGCGUAACGGUAAGCACAGAACUCUGGCGAAGGCAUGCACAGGUACGUGGUCACAUCACGCAGCUGUGCCUCAAAAGGAAAGUCGCCUUGUCCAGCCUGGUGAAAUUCUCCGUUGGCAGCCAUCUACACAAUUUUUAACAAAGAGAAGGAAGUCGAUCGGAAUCCAUGUUAGAUAGACAAGAAUAGGAGUAUAAAUAUAUAGGUAUAUAUAUUCAUCUUGAUUUACUUAAAAUAAGUCCUUAUGGCUUUUCCAGUACUAGGGUCACGACCUACAGGCAACAUGCGCUCUGAUACCAUCUGUGGCGAUCCAGACCCGUAAGGAUUUGGACCUUUGUGUAAACUGUGCUAGUCCCUGGAUCAAAUGCUAGCACACACAGUUCCAUUGAUGAAAUACCAUACACAUGUCUUUUACAUCGGUUCGAAUAACAAAUCCAGAGUACUUAAUACAAGCCAAGCGGAAGUUCAAAUAAAACACACUGGUAAAGAGGAAGUCCCAUCAACGCCACAGGCAAGUUGAGUGUAGACUCGCGACCCUGCGUCUUCUUCUUUUGCGUCACCCUCUGCACAUGAUAGGUGCAGGUCAGUACAUUGAAUGUACUUGCAAGUCACACCUGUGUGGUUAGGAGGAAUGCAUGGAAAUAAUGAAGGAUGUCCUAGUUUGGCUUCUAGGGUUGUUUUUGCAAAAUGCUGCUUUUGGGGUUUCAAAAUACUCAUAGUAUUUUUCUUUAAAAAUCUCUAUUCUGGAGUUUUGAUAAAACAGGGUUUGAUCAAUAGUGUGGUCAUUAUGUGGAUGUUCACUCCACGACCUAGCUUUGCACUCUGGGUCAACUGACACUCACAUAGCAUCCCUUUAUCCCUGACUCAUUAUGUGGAACCUUCCAUCGAGUCAAAACAGUUUUGAGGUUUUUGAAACAAAACUUGAAGAUCUCCACUUCUUCUGACUUAAUGAAUCAAAGUCGCCCGUAACCAGGGGCAUGGCUAAUCGAUUAGAUUGACACUCUCGAGAGGUUUGUACACUUUACCCACUUGACACAAUCAGUCCAAAGUAUCGCCUGACCACAAGCGUGUGCAACAGGUAAAGAUUGUGACGAAGUCUUUCAGUAGAAGCCCCCUGGUACCUAAUUCUUGCACCGCCCGCCCAUAUGAGCACAUUGGCUCCUCUCCGGAUGGCGAUACCUAGGUAAGGUUUCCCACUAGUUAGUCGACCAAGCCAGAGCCCAUAAUAGCAAGUGGUUGCACAAGAAGCCUUCGGGUACAUGAGAAGGUUUGAACUCUUGGAUUUCUGGACGGCGGUCCCCACCUUCUCCUGAGCGUGUACCCGUUACGAGGCUACAACACUUGCCAACAGCCAACUGGCCUCCAUCAUACCACUGCAUCCAGAUCAAACAUUUUGGUUUUAUUUCGAAAACAUUUUUCCAAAAAAAUAUUCGCUCAUAAAGAGCACUAAUACUUUCAAUUCGUCCCGUUAUAAUAGUAUAGCAUGCUUUGGAAAAAUGUAAAUACAUAUCCUAUGGUAUUUGGUAGCAUGGCAAUAAUAUCCUAUAAGCAAUCUACUAGGAAUAACUAAACAGGUUGAAAACGGAGUUGAUAAAUACUUCAUAAAGAAAAUAACUCUAACAUGCAUCCCUAUGAUGUUGUAAACAAAAUAGCAUAAGCAAAAAUAUAGGUAUUACAUGAUCAAUAAGUGUAACUUGCCUGGAUCAGAAAAGUUGUUGCGGUCGUCAACUCUCUGGCACUCGUCGCAAUCGCAAUCCGAAUAAUCUAACGCGAAGAACGAAACAACAAUAAAUGCAUAGUUCCAAACAUCUCUCAAAAUCCAAAUAUAACUCCAAAUGAUCUUCGGAUAAAGGAUGUAUCACAAGCAUACAAAAACAGAACCUAAACAUCAUCUAAGUAAUACCAUAGUAUUAACAAUUCAAGUUCUAAAGCCUAAGGUUAAGGUUAGUGUGGCUAAGUCUGAAAAUUCAGUAAUCUACAACUGUUAACAGAUAGCAACUAGGGUUGACAGGUAAAAGGUGCUAAAGUACAGAACAUGGCAUGAAACAUAUGCUACAGUACAGUACUAAGAUCAUACUAACUAACGCAGCAGGUUUCAGGUUAAAAUGAUAAAUAGAUCAAAAGUUAAUGGCUUGCAAAGGUGGCUAGUCAGAUUCUGACAGAUAAAGGUUGCUAACUUCGAGUGAAAAACUACUGGUGCUAAACUAUUCCAAUGACAGAGAACUAAACAAAAGAAUCCAAGAAUAUGAUCUACUCUUCCAAAUGGCACUGGUUUCACUAACUUUGGAGAGAUGAGGCAGUAGCUAUGAACAGGUGAAUGUGGCUACUCUAAAACAGAACAGUACGGGAUAUGAACUUCUACCGUCGUGUGAUGUGACCAGGUGGAGACGGCGGAGGUGAGGGAUGACAGGUGGACCCCACCUGUCAGUGUGAGAGAGAGAAGAGUUGAAAACGUAUUCCCCCGAGAAUACGCUUUCCUGCGGAGAAAGCGUAAUGCCAGAGAAAAAGAAAAAGAAUAAAAGAAAAAGAUUAUAAAAUACUUUUCAGGAUCUAUAAUUCACCCGAAAUUGCACUUAAAUCAUUUAAAAUAUCAAAUCGGAUCAGAAAAAUUCCAAAAAAUUCGGUAAAAUAAUAUAUCUCAUUCA